rnacentral:rRNA from 1 species
AGUGAAUAGAUACCCGGGUAGUCCUAGCCGUAAACGAUACUCGCUAGGUGUCGGCCACGGUGCGACCGUUGUCGGUGCCGUAGGGAAAGCCGUGAAGCGAGCCACCUGGGAAGUACGGCCGCAAGGCUGAAACUUAAAGGAAUUGGCGGGGGAGCACCACAACGGUGGAGCUUGCGGUUUAAUUGGAUUCAACGCCGGAAAUCUUACCGGGACCGACAGCAAUAUGAAGGCCAGGCUGAAGACUUUGUCCGGAUUAGCUGAGAGGUGGUGCAUGGCCGUCGUCAGUUCGUACUGUGAAAGCAUCCUGUUAAGUCAGGCAACGAGCGAGACCCACGCCCACAGUUGCCAGCGUACUCUCCGGAGUGACGGGUACACUGUGGGGACCGCCGCUGCUAAAGCGGAGGAAGGAAUGGGCAACGGUAGGUCAGUAUGCCCCGAAUAUCCCGGGCUACACGCGGGCUACAAUGGUUGGUACAAUGGGUAUCUACCCCGAAAGGGGAUGGAAAUCUCCUAAAGCCAAUCUUAGUUCGGAUUGAGGGGCUGCAACUCG